UACAGAGACCUCAAGCGUUAUCCGGAAUCAUUGGGCGUAAAGCGUGCCGAUAGGUGGUUUAGAAAGUCAGAAGUGAAAUCUCUCAGCUUAACUGGGAGACUGCCUUUUGAAACUUCUAAACUAGAGGGGCAAAGAGGAAGCUGGAACGAACGGUGUAGUAGUGAAAUGCGUUGAUAUCGUUCGGAACACCAAUAGCGUAGGCAGGCUUCUGGGUGCCACCUGACACUGCUAGGACGAAAGCGUGGGGAGCGAAUGGG
rnacentral:rRNA from 1 species